rnacentral:rRNA from 1 species
AGGGCACCACCAGGAGUGGAGCCUGCGGCUUAAUUUGACUCAACACGGGAAAACUCACCCGGCCCGGACACCGUAAGGAUUGACAGAUUGAGAGCUCUUUCUUGAUUCGGUGGUUGGUGGUGCAUGGCCGUUCUUAGUUGGUGGAGCGAUUUGUCUGGUUUAUUCCGAUAACGAACGAGACUCUGGCCUACUAAAUAGAGACAGGAUUAUUACUGUCCUGGAUUCUUCUUAGAGGGACAAGUGGUUUUCAGCCACACGAAAUUGAGCAAUGACAGGUCUGUGAUGCCCUUAGAUGUCCGGGGCUGCACGCGCGCUACACUGAAGGAAUCAGCGUGCUAAAACCAUUGUCGAAAGGCAUUGGUAAACCCCUCAAAAUCCUACGUGAUUGGGAUCGGGAAUUGCAAUUAUUUCCCUUGAACGAGGAAUUCCCAGUAAGUGUGGGUCAUAAGCUCGCGUUGAUUACGUCCCUGCCCUUUGUACACACCGCCCGUCGCUGCCCGGGACUGAGCCGUUUCGAGA